UUUAUAUAUUAUACUUUUAUAUACUUUAUUCUGUUCAAAAUAUUUUCUAAUUAUCCUGGUAAUUUUUUAUUUGAUCUAUGAGUUAUUUAUAAGUGUAUUGUUUAAGUUUGAAGUAUUCAGGGCUUUUCUAGCAAUUAGUGACGUCUUUUCAUUCUGGCUUCCCUAGCUCUGAACCCUAUAACAUGUGAUCUUUGCAGGGCCCUGGGUAAUCUUGUCUUGCAGUCCAACUAUGGUAGCCUGACUUCUAAGGUGGCUCUCAAUGGUCCUUCCACCUCCUGAUCUACAUGCCCUUACAGAAAGAAUCCUUUCCCUUUGAGUAUGGGCUGGACCUAACGACUUGUUUCUAAUCAACAGAAUACAACAAAGGUAAUAGCAUAUUGCUUCUGUAAUUAGGUUAUAACAUAUCAUCGCUUCUGUUUUGCUAGCAGACUUGUUGGCUUUGAUGAGCAAGCUGCCAUGUUGAAGAAGCCUAUAUGGCAAGGAACUGAGGGUAGCCUCAAGCCAACAGCUAACAAGGAACAAGCACUUAGUCCAACAGCCCUCAAGGAACUGAAUCUUUCCAACAAUAAGAAAGUGAAUUUGGAAGAGAAUCCUCCCCAGUUGAGCUUUCAGGUAUGCUAUGGUCUGAAUGUUUGUGUCUCCUCAAAAUUCAUGUGGUAAAAUCUGAAUCCCCAAAGUGAUGGUAGUAGCAGGUGGGGCCUUUGGGAGGUGAUUAUGUAAUGAGAAUGGAGCCCUCAAGAAUGGAAUUAAUGUUCUUAUGGAAAGAACUCAUAAGAGAACUCUUGCCGCACCAUGUGAAGACACAGCAAUUGGACACAAAAUUCCUGACUACUCAACAAUCAGCUCUCAAGACUCCAGCAUACUGCGAUGGCCUCAAGGUUGGUGCCCAGGACCUUCAGCUGCCUGUCAGAAGGAUCUUUGCAGAGAACUGCACUUUGUUCUGAGUGCCACAUACAAGAUACCUAGAGAAUGUUUUGAAGGCUUGUAAGAUGAACUGCAAAGAUGAUAAAAUGAUCAGUGGACACACUGGAAGUUGGAAGAUAACUGAUCAACUGUCACUGCCAACAUUACUGGUCUGCUUCUUCACAUCCAUACUUUGGAGAUGAAGAGUAGUACUGAAGUAGUACUGUGCUAUGACAGUGGACAAUCCAUUUUAAUGAAAACCUCUCUACUCCCCUCCACAUACUGAAGUUGUGACUUUGGUGGGAGGUUUUGGUAUGCCAUCCUGAGAGGAAAAUGUCUCAAACAUCCUUUGCUACUCUAAGUGUGAUUCCUGGACAAGAAAUACCAGCAUUACCUCGGAACUUGUUAGAAAUGCAAAAUAUCAGGCCCAAAUCCAGAGGUAAGGAGUUACCACCUGCAGUAUAACAAGACACCCAGGUGAUUCUAUGGAUCUAAAGACUGAGAAUUGUUGUUUUAAGCUAGAGUGAACAGGAGUGUAUAGUUUGAAAAUGCUUUUUUAUAGUUAUUUACAUGUUUUUUGAAAACAGCAUUACUGAGCUAUAUUUCACAUACCAAACAAUUCACCCACUUAAAGUGUGUUAUUCAGUGGUUUUUAAUAUAUUCAGAGUUGUGCAAUCAUCACCACAGUCCAUUUUAGAACACUUUCAUCUCCCCAACAAGAAAUCCAAUAGCCACAGCUGUUAUUCUCCAUUUCCCCUUCAUCCCUAGGAAACUGCUAAUUUACUUUCUGUCUCUAUGGAUUUGCCUGUCCAAGACAUUCCAUCCAUAUAAAUGGAAUCAUACAAUAUGUGGUGUUUUGUG
rnacentral:lncRNA from 1 species